rnacentral:sRNA from 1 species
AGCAGCUGGCCACUGUAUCAGUUGUAUUUUUGAAAUUUUGCUGUAAACUUGUCUAGGAGACGGAAAGAAGUGGAAUAUUAUUUAGUUGUAAAAGUGUAAUACCAAAAGUGUAUUCUGUGUGAAAAAAGAGUGUGGUUUUUGCCAAAGUAAAAAUGGCUGUAUUGUUCCCCGUUAUUGUCAAGCGUUUUAUUGUAAAUCGCAUUGAGUCAUCAAAAGAAGCAGAAUAUUGUUGUUCGAGUAAAAUAGGCUGAUAAAGAAAUAGUUGAGAGCAGAAAUAUUGUGAAAUGCUGUUUGCAAAUUGGGAAAGAAAUUUGAAGUAAAAUUUUGCGGAAUCCAUUCGUGUUAAUGGCUAAACUGAUAGAGCUGCGAGGAUGAAACAUCUAGGCAAAGAGAGAAAGAGUUUUGGGAAUCUAGCAAGAAAUGGCUGUUGACUUCUCUGAGUAGGCUUGGAACACAGCGACCUUGUGGUUUUGAUGAUGAAUCGGUCUCUUCCUGAAGUUGUGUCGUGUGUCUUGGGUUUAUGACUAGCUAGCUUUUCCUUAGCGGAGCUUUGGUUGUCAAAACGUAAGCCCGAAAUUAUAUGUGGUUAUUAUAAUGGGCGGCGUCGUGUAAAUUUAUCAUUGUAAUAUAUGCUAAGUUUGCUCGGAAUAUCUCGUCCGUCCAAUUCUCGUCUCGUCUCGUCGCCGUGACAACGUAUUUUCGUAUUCAAUAGAAAGAAAUUAAUUCAGGCGUAGAUAAUUCAACCGAUUUAACCAUCUCAUCUUUAAGAAAACUGCGAAUUAUUGAAACUGCGAUUUUGUGGUUACAUUAUAUACUGCUAUGCUAGAGUUGAGUGUACAUAUAUUAUAUAUAAUAGAGUACAUGAGGUGUAGACACGAUAUAUAUGUAUAUGAAACGAAUCACAUCUACACAAUCUGAGAUCUGUCGCAAAUCAUAAAUGAUGAGAGUAAAAGUAUGGUAUUUGAAUAUGAAUUUGAUGAAGAAAGAAGAGAGAGAGUAUGAAUGUGUAAUGAAUGCGAAAUGUGUACGAGAAUAAAUUACACUGCGUUUAUGAAAUAUAUCCGAGCGAUAAAUGCUAUAUUCUGAGAGAGAAUUAAAGGAAUAAUCAAUAUCUAUCUAUCAGGCAGGCAGAUAAUUAUCACAGAGAGAAACAAACACAUCACUCAGACUCUGAAUGAGCAUUGAAAACCUACUACCCCCACGACCAACUGAUCUGAAACUGCUAGAGCUAUCUGAGAGAUAUGCGUUUAGAAUAUUUAAAAAAUAUUUUUUGUCUAAAAAAAACUAAAAGAAAAUGUAGAUUGAUUGAUAUAUGAUAAUGCUUUAGUAAAAAACAACGUUAUUUAGAAAUAAAUAAACCCAUAAAAAAGAACUUCGUUCCCUUAUGCCAACCUAAGGGUUAAGUGUUUUAUAGAUUUAUCAUCUACACAUAAUAAUUUGUUAUUACUAAUCAAUAAAACACCAACGUGUCUAGAGUAUAUCUAACAUGUUCUUUUUUUUACAAAUUUAUUAUGAUUACAAUGUAAACCUUAAGUUGUCUUUAGUUUUAUUUCU